AACACUGUUAACCUGCGGUACCUGCGGAAGGAUCAUUAACGCGCCGUGGAGGUUGCCUUUAAACAGGUCUGACCUUCCACCUGGCCACCCUUGUUUAUCUUUAACCUGUUGCUUUGGUGGGCCCGCUGCAAGGCCGCUGGAGAAUUUAAAAGUUUUCUGGCCCGUGCCCACCAAAGUUCUAGUGAACUCUUUGUUAAUUUUCUGCUGUCUGAGCAUUAAAAGAAACAAUUUUUAAAACUU
rnacentral:misc_RNA from 1 species